GACGAACGCUGGCGGCGUGCCUAACACAUGCAAGUCGAGCGAGUGGAGUUUUUCGGAACAAAGCUAGCGGCGGACGGGUGAGUAACACGUGGGCAACCUGCCUCAUAGAGGGGAAUAGCCUUCCGAAAGGGAGAUUAAUACCGCAUAAGAUUGUAGCUUCGCAUGAAGUAGCAAUUAAAGGAGCAAUCCGCUAUGAGAUGGGCCCGCGGCGCAUUAGCUAGUUGGUGAGGUAACGGCUCACCAAGGCGACGAUGCGUAGCCGACCUGAGAGGGUGAUCGGCCACAUUGGGACUGAGACACGGCCCAGACUCCUACGGGAGGCAGCAGUGGGGAAUAUUGCACAAUGGGGGAAACCCUGAUGCAGCAACGCCGCGUGAGUGAUGACGGCCUUCGGGUUGUAAAGCUCUGUCUUCAGGGACGAUAAUGACGGUACCUGAGGAGGAAGCCACGGCUAACUACGUGCCAGCAGCCGCAGUAAAAC
rnacentral:rRNA from 1 species